ensembl:lncRNA
CAACGAUAUUUACAGAGCCAGCCUGAGCCGGACGCUGAUGUACUGACAUUUGUUUUAGAGCGAAUGGGCCGAGGGGCAACAUCAGCUGGGGAGUGAUGUUAAUGCUAGGUGAUAGAAUGGCUGGACCAAGGCUUUAACAUGGAGGGUAGAUGCUAGGGGAUAGUCUGGACCAAGGCUUUAACAUGGAGGGUAGAUGCUAGGGGAUAGAAUGGCUGGACCAAGGCUUUAACAUGGGGAACUCAGUCAGAAUCCAAAUCCCAAUGGGCCCUGGUCAAAUGUGGUGCGUCGUGCAUGACCGGUGUCAGCAACCUUUUUUCAUGUAGACAAUUUAUCAUUCCAAUUCUACCAAUCUACAUGGCAGUUAUGAUUUUCAUGGAACAAUUUCAUUUAAAAUAUAAUAAUGUCUCAA